GAUGAACGCUGGCGGCGUGCCUAAUACAUGCAAGUCGAGCGAACGGACGAGAAGCUUGCUUCUCUGAUGUUAGCGGCGGACGGGUGAGUAACACGUGGAUAACCUACCUAUAAGACUGGGAUAACUUCGGGAAACCGGAGCUAAUACCGGAUAAUAUUUUGAACCGCAUGGUUCAAAAGUGAAAGACGGUCUUGCUGUCACUUAUAGAUGGAUCCGCGCUGCAUUAGCUAGUUGGUAAGGUAACGGCUUACCAAGGCAACGAUGCAUAGCCGACCUGAGAGGGUGAUCGGCCACACAGGAACUGAGACACGGUCCAGACUCCUACGGGAGGCAGCAGUAGGGAAUCUUCCGCAAUGGGCGAAAGCCUGACGGAGCAACGCCGCGUGAGUGAUGAAGGUCUUCGGAUCGUAAAACUCUGUUAUUAGGGAAGAACAUAUGUGUAAGUAACUGUGCACAUCUUGACGGUACCUAAUCAGAAAGCCACGGCAAACUACGU
rnacentral:rRNA from 1 species